rnacentral:rRNA from 1 species
UAUGACUCUCGGCAAUGGAUAUCUUGGCUCUUGCAUCGAUGAAGAGCGCAGCGAAAUGCGAUACGUGGUGCGAAUUGCAGAAUCCCGUGAACCAUCGAGUUUUUGAACGCAAGUUGCGCCUGAGGCCAUCUGGUCGAGGGCACGUCCGCCUGGGCGUCAAGC